rnacentral:rRNA from 1 species
CCUACGGGUGGCAGCAGUCGAGAAUCAUUCACAAUGGGAGAAACCCUGAUGGGGCGACGCCGCGUGGGGGAAUGAAGGUCUUCGGAUUGUAAACCCCUGUCAUGUGGGAGCAAAUUAAAAAGAUAGUACCACAAGAGGAAGAGACGGCUAACUCUGUGCCAGCAGCCGCGGUAAUACAGAGGUCUCAAGCGUUGUUCGGAAUCACUGGGCGUAAAGGGUGCGUAGGCUGUUUCGUAAGUCGUGUGUGAAAGGCGCGGGCUCAACCCGCGGACGGCACAUGAUACUGCGAGACUAGAGUAAUGGAGGGGGAACCGGAAUUCUCGGUGUAGCAGUGAAAUGCGUAGAUAUCGAGAGGAACACUCGUGGCGAAGGCGGGUUCCUGGACAUUAACUGACGCUGAGGCACGAAGGCCAGGGGAGCGAAAGGGAUUAGAUACCCCUGUAGUC